GCAUUGCUAUUGCACGCGGGCGGCGCGGCGUGCGCGCUGCGCCAUCUGUCUGCGCCUCCUAAUUUCCCCUCCGCGCCACCGCCACGUCUCGCCGUGAAACAGGACUACAGAAUGUCUCUUGUUGAAAUGUCAAGUUUUUCAAACGUUUUUUGAUCGGAGUUUAACUUCUGAUGGUCCCAUGGCUACAGAUUGUUAAAGUAUCAAUUUUCUAUUGCAUACAAAUAUUGAUUCACAGAGAUUGAGAUUUAUGUUCUGUUAGAUACUUCUUUGUGGCUAUAGUGUUUAUUCGGUUUAAAAGGAGCAUGCCGACCCGACAAUCUCACUACAACUAAUUCUGUAAGGCCAAAGAAUUCCGGAGAGCCAGAUCUUUUCUGCAGGAUGAUGAUGAAUUGAUAAAACAAAUGGGAGUUUUCAGUGACGAGAGAGGCCAUUCAAACUCUGGGAAUGCAAACUUUCAAAUUCCAUGCCAAACUAAUACUGCACAAGGAAGCUUCAUUGAUUCUUUUAACUUGAGACUUUGAUUGAAUCCCAACAAACCCCCCUCAAAUGAAGGAUUACAAUUACUCUUACAGUUCGGGCCUACUCACGAGCAUUUGGUCACCCUGACGUGCUUUGAGCCUCCCUACAAUCAUCCACAUCCGAUUACCUUGAUCUACUCUAGGCCUCUCCCACAAGAGAGCCUCAACUCUCCCCCUUUUGGGUUCAACUUCAAGGAGCUAAAUUUGACUCAUGGAGCAGUCUGAUGAGGCAGAGAGAUCUUGUGGGCUGACCGCCACUGCAGAACCCUAAUGUUAAAAAAACUUGAGGAGUACAAAUAAUUUGUAAUUUUUUAAA